rnacentral:misc_RNA from 1 species
GAUGAAGAACGUAGUUAAAUGCGAUAAGUAAUGUGAAUUGCAGAAUUCAGUGAAUCAUCGAAUCUUUGAACGCACAUUGCGCCCCCUGGUAUUCCGGGGGGCAUGCCUGUCCGAGCGUCAUUACAACCCUCAAGCUCAGCUUGGUGUUGGGCCCCGCCGCCCCGGCGGGCCCUAAAGUCAGUGGCGGUGCCGUCCGGCUCCGAGCGUAGUAAUUCUUCUCGCUCUGGAGGUCCGGUCGUGUGCUCGCCAGCAACCCCCAAUUUUUUUCAGGUUGACCUCGGAUCAGGUAGGGAUACCCGCUGAACUUAAGCAUAUCAAUAAGCGGAGGA